UUUCAGGGUUUUCAAUUCCUC
rnacentral:piRNA from 1 species